CCAGAGGAAAGAGAUAUCCAGAUUCUCAACUCAAUUCCAUCGAUGGAACCAGGCGAUGAACUCCAACACACGCUAGAAGGUAUAGCUGCGUAUUUAAGGAUGGCAGAAGAAACUCUCAAAGAAGUUUCUAAAUCACACAAGUGGCCAGACUACGAUGUGCACCUUUGGAAUAGAACUACUAUUAAGAAUCUGCCAAAGCAGAAAGAUCAAAGCUCCUGUGGUCUGUUUGUGCUCUUGUUCAUACAGUACUGGACAGGAAAAAAAACUUUCCAAAAAAUUUACACAGGUUUGCAAUAAUUAGUAUAUGCACUUACAAAUUUUGUCCAUGAUUUUAUUUUAACUUGCACCAUUCAUUCAUAUGCAGAAAGAU